AAUGGAACUGUGAGGAUAUGGUUCACCUAACCCCACCAAUGUUGUGACUUGAUGGGAGUAAGGUCUUCCACAAUUUUGGCAGAGGCAUGGUCUUCCUACCUUCCCCUUCAGAUGUACUCUCUACCAUUUGAAUUAAAAGGGCAGCUCUCGUGGUUGAGAAAAGAAGUAGCAGAAAGAGGAGCUCUCGGUCUCUUUCAUUCCAGCAGAAAGGUGGAGCUCUCGUUUUAGCAAAAGGGUGGUGGUUCUUCAUUGGUUUUCCCCUCUCUCUUUGGAAGGCAAUUGGCAUAGCAUGGAGGUUGUUCCUGAGCCUGAAAAACACCCAUAAAAGGAAGAAGAAGCUGCUGAAACGAAGAAGAAGAAGCUGGACAGAUUUCUGAACAAAAAAGGGUUGUAUUUUUCCAUUCCCGUUUUUCUUUGUUUUUGCCUUGAAUCUGGUUUUGUUGAUUGUUUGUUUUGGUUGAUUGAAUUCCUAGGAUCCCCAACAGGAACCGGGACACACAAAUGAAGAGAAUGAUUCUUUUUUCCUCUCACUACUCAUUACCAUUCCAUAUUUUACUAUUAAUCAUUCAUGAAUCAAUCCCAACCAAACUUUAGAUCCGUUAUUUCUUUAUAACGAUUUCCGGGCAAUAUGUUAUUGCUGUUUUUGGCCCUAUCAUCAUAGCAUUCUUCAUCGUCAUGGUAGGUGGUGUUUUCGAUUCCAAUUUCAAGUACGCUAUUUGCCACUCUCGCUGACAUGUAUUUUUUUUAAAACUUUUUUUGAGUAAUAUUUAUUUGAUGAAAAAUCCAAGAAUCCAUUGUGAAAUUGUGGAUUAGAGGAGGGUUAAGGUGUUUUGAAUUAAAGAAGAUUGAGUUCUGGUUUUUGUUUUCUUUUUUCUGAUAUAAAUUCAUAGUUAAAUCUGAAAAAAAAAAAAAAAAAUUUGGUUGUGGUCCUUGUGGUUUUUAUGGAGUCGUUUCGAGAUCUUGGGUAAAGACACCCAUUGUUGCACUAGUAUUUAUUUACAUCUCGAGUGUAUAAUUUGCAUCUUAUGUCCAUAAUUAAAAUUUUUAAAUUACUG
rnacentral:lncRNA from 1 species